GCUUGUCUCAAAGAUUAAGCCAUGCAUGUCUAAGUACAAACAACUUUGUACUGUGAAACUGCGUACGGCUCAUUAAAUCAGUUAUUAUUUAUUUGAUGGUAUCUUACUACAUGGAUAACUGUAGUAAUUCUAGAGCUAAUACAUGCGUCAAGUCCCGACUUUCACGGAAGGGAUGUAUUUAUUAGAUAAAAAACCAAUGUGGGCCUCAAAAACCCGCUCUCGUGGUGACUCAUAGUAACUGUUCGAAUCGCACGGCUUGCCAGGCGAUAGUUCAUUCAAAUUUCUGCCCUAUCAGCUUUCGACGGUAGUGUAGUGGACUACCGUGGCGUUAACGGGUAACGGAGAAUUAGGGUUCGAUUCCGGAGAGGGAGCCUGAGAAAUGGCUACCACAUCCAAGGAAGGCAGCAGG
rnacentral:rRNA from 1 species